GGUUAGAAAAGGGGGCGCCGAAUCGUGUACCUGAGGACGCUCUCUUCUUCACGAGGUCGCGACGGCGGAAUGGGGACGGCGUCGGAGUUUUGCCUCUCUGAUAAAGACUUCUGAUUCAGCAAAAGCUUACUCACUUCGUUCUUCUCUCCGAACUCAGGCUUACGAUACAAUCUCUUCCGUCUCGAUCUCAAACUCGCACCGUGAUUCAAGCUUCGCUAUCUCCAUUCGCACAUCUCCUUCGAUCUCAUCGUUGCUCUUAUCCUCUGGGGGAAGCUGAAGAUGAUGCUGAGAUGAGUUGAAGAGGUUCAAGGUUGCAAUGUGAAGAGUGAAGGUAUGUGUUGCAGAAUGAAGAAUUGAAGAUGAUGGUGAUUUGCUGAGAAAGUGAAGAAGGUGAAGGUGAUUCGUGGAGUGAGGAUGGUGAUGAAGAUUUGCAGAAUCUAUGGCGGAUUGAAGGUGAUGAAUCUAGGUGAAGAUGAAGGUUGAUUGAUUAUGAAGGUUUUGAAGAAUGAAGAAGAUGAUCAUGAGAUUGAUGGAGUGGUGAAGGGAGAGUGGUUGAUUGAUUAUGAAGGUUUUGAAGAAUGAAGAAGAUGAUCAUGAGAUUGAUGGAGUGGUGAAGGGAGAGUGGUUGAUGAAGAAGCAGGGUGGUUGAAGGAAUUGAUUCAGAGAGAGUGAAGGUGAAGGAAAAAUGGAGGAGAAAUGGCGUGGACCUUUG